UCGGGAAUUUUGCGCAAUGGGCGAAAGCCUGACGCAGCAACGCCGCGUGAGGGAUGAAGGCCUUCGGGUUGUAAACCUCUUUUCUCAGGGACGAUGAUGACGGUACCUGAGGAAGAAGCCACGGCUAACUACGUGCCAGCAGCCGCGGUAAUACGUAGGUGGCAAGCGUUGUCCGGAUUUACUGGGCGUAAAGAGCGCGCAGGCGGUCGUGCAAGUCGCGUGUGAAAGCCCCCGGCUCAACUGGGGAGGGUCACGCGAUACUGUUCGACUCGAAGGCAGGAGAGGGAAGUGGAAUUCCCGGUGUAGUGGUGAAAUGCGUAGAUAUCGGGAGGAACACCAGUGGCGAAGGCGACUUCCUGGCCUGUUCUUGACGCUGAGGCGCGAAAGCUAGGGUAGCAAACGGG
rnacentral:rRNA from 1 species